ACCUCUGAAGCGCAGGACGCGCUCAGGAUCAAGGAGGAUCGACCAUCGCCAGGACGGCAACCGGAAGGAUUCGGAUGGUUAGAAAAACCCGCUUCGGCGGGUUUUU
rnacentral:sRNA from 2 species